CCUACGUGCGGCAGCAGUGGGGAAUAUUGCACAAUGGGGGAAACCCUGAUGCAGCGACGCCGCGUGAGUGCAGAAGUAAUUCGUUAUGUAAAGCUCUAUCAGCAGGGAAGAAAAUGACGGUACCUGAGUAAGAAGCCCCGGCUAACUACGUGCCAGCAGCCGCGGUAAUACGUAGGGGGCAAGCGUUAUCCGGAUGUACUGGGUGUAAAUGGAGCGUAGACGGCAGUGCAAGUCUGGAGUGAAAGGCGGGGGCUCAACCCCCGGACUGCUCUGGAAACUGUACGGCUGGAGUGCAGGAGAGGUAAGUGUAAUUCCUAGUGUAGCGGUGAAAUGCGUAGAUAUUAGGAGGAACACCAGUGGCGAAGGCGGCUUACUGGACUGUAACUGACGUUGAGGCUCGAAAGCGUGGGGAGCAAACAGGAUUAGAUACCCCUGUAGUC
rnacentral:rRNA from 1 species